UCAUAAUCGAACAUUGCGGGAAAUGUGGAUGAGGGUGUUUACAAAUGAACAGAUGAGCACACACGUCUGCUUAUCCAGCGGAGACGAGAGCGGCUAAUGAAGCAAUGCUGCCAUCAAAGGCUUUGAAAGCUAGAAUGCACGC